UACGGAGGGAGCUAGCGUUAUUCGGAAUUACUGGGCGUAAAGCGCACGUAGGCGGCUUUGUAAGUUAGAGGUGAAAGCCUGGAGCUCAACUCCAGAAUUGCCUUUAAGACUGCAUCGCUUGAAUCCAGGAGAGGUGAGUGGAAUUCCGAGUGUAGAGGUGAAAUUCGUAGAUAUUCGGAAGAACACCAGUGGCGAAGGCGGCUCACUGGACUGGUAUUGACGCUCAUGCACGAAAGCGUGGGGAGCAAACAGG
rnacentral:rRNA from 1 species